AUUGAACGCUGGCGGCAUGCUUUACACAUGCAAGUCGAACGGUAACAGGGUGCUUGCACCGCUGACGAGUGGCGAACGGGUGAGUAAUGCGUCGGAACGUGCCGAGUAGUGGGGGAUAACGCAGCGAAAGUUGUGCUAAUACCGCAUACGUACUGAGGUAGAAAGUGGGGGACCUUCGGGCCUCACGCUAUUCGAGCGGCCGACGUCUGAUUAGCUAGUAGGUGAGGUAAAGGCUCACCUAGGCGACGAUCAGUAGCGGGUCUGAGAGGAUGAUCGGCCACACUGGGACUGAGACACGGCCCAGACUCCUACGGGAGGCAGCAGUGGGGAAUUUUGGACAAUGGGCGAAAGCCUGAUCCAGCCAUGCCGCGUGUCUGAAGAAGGCCUUCGGGUUGCAAAGGACUUUUGUCGGGGAGGAAAUCCCCAGCGUUAAUACCGCUGGGGGAUGACAGUACCUUAAGAAUAAGCACCGGCUAACUACGUGCCAGCCGCCGCCGUAACAC
rnacentral:rRNA from 1 species